GUGGAGGAGCUGCUGGUGGUGGUGGAGGAGCUGCUGCUGGUGGACGAGCUGAGCUGCUGACGGAGGUGUUUGGCACGCUUCAAGGAUAUGGCGGCUCGAUCGUUGCUCGAUCCACUUAUUGAUCAGAAACAUCGUGCAUCGCACUUGGAGGCUGACCCGCAGAGCAUGGAGCCACUGCAGACCCGUACUCCAAAGAAGAACUGGAUGAUACACCCUCAAUGGGAAGACAGGUUGAAGUGGGCAGGACUACUACCUUUCGCUCGAUUAGUGGAGGCCCGAGAUCACAUUUCGCGCUCGAACUACGAUGUUGCUUUGAUCACCGCUUAGUGGAUCGAUGGAGGCCCGAGACCCACACGUUCCACUUUCGCUGGGGUGAGAUGGCGCCUACUCUACAGGACGUGUCUAUGUUGCUGGGCCUUCCGUUGGCA